rnacentral:rRNA from 1 species
AGAAAUGUUGAAUAAUACCCCAUAAUAUCAUUAAUCCGCAUGGAUUGAUGAAGAAAGCUCCGGCGGAAAAAGAUGGGCAUGCGUCCUAUUAGUUAGUUGGUAAGGUAACGGCUUACCAAGACAUCGAUAGGUAGGGGUCCUGAGAGGGAGAUCCCCCACACUGGUACUGAGACACGGACCAGACUCCUACGGGAGGCAGCAGUGAGGAAUAUUGGACAAUGGAGGCAACUCUGAUCCAGCCAUGCCGCGUGCAGGAAGACGGCCCUAUGGGUUGUAAACUGCUUUUAUACAGGAAGAACUGUAUCUACGUGUAGAUACUUGACGGUACUGUACGAAUAAGGAUCGGCUAACUCCGUGCCAGCAGCCGCGGUAAUACGGAGGAUCCAAGCGUUAUCCGGAAUCAUUGGGUUUAAAGGGUCCGUAGGCGGUCUGAUAAGUCAGAGGUGAAAUCCUGCAGCUCAACUGUAGCAUUGCCUUUGAUACUGUUAGACUUGAGUUAUUGUGAAGUAGUUAGAAUGUGUAGUGUAGCGGUGAAAUGCAUAGAUAUUACACAGAAUACCGAUUGCGAAGGNAGAUUACUAACAAUAUACUGACGCUGAGGGACGAAAGCGUGGGUAGCGAACAGGAUUAGAUACCCUGGUAGUCCACGCCGUAAACGAUGGAUACUAGCUGUUCGAUCAACAUUGGUUGGUUGAGUGG